rnacentral:misc_RNA from 1 species
AUAUCUCAAACCCGACGCUUUGUUUGAAGUGCCGGGGCUUGGACUUGAGCUUUGUCGGCGACCCGUCGACUGGCUUGAAAUUGAUCAGUGAUGCACGAUCCCUUGUCGGGUCCGUCUCAGCGUGAUAAGUUGAUCGCUGCAAAGGACUUGCGCAUCGGAGAAGGCACGCUCCUAACCGUCUUAGGACAGCUCUUGACG